GCCCCCAUAGCCCAAUCGGCAAAGGCAGCUGAGUUAAAAUCAGCCCAGCAUGGGUUCGAGUCCCACUGGGGGGCACCA
rnacentral:tRNA from 1 species